rnacentral:ncRNA from 1 species
UCCCUAUCUACUAUCUAGCGAAACCACAGCCAAGGGAACGGGCUUGGCAAAAUCAGCGGGGAAAGAAGACCUGUUGAGCUUGACUCUAGUCUGACUCUGUGAAAAGACAUGAGAGGUGUAGAAUAAGUGGGAGUAGCAAUACGUCGGUGAAAUACCACUACUCUUAUCGUUUUUUUACUUAUUCGAUGAAGCGGAAGCGAACCGCAAGGUUCACGUUCUGGAUUUAAGGUCUCUCUUUUGCAGACCGAUCCGUGUCGAAGACACUGUCAGGUUUGGCACGCGUUUUCUGGGGAAGUAAUAAACAGAUAUACUGUAACGUACGUAAACACAGAUAUUUUGAGGGUCUGUUCAAGUCUACUCUGGCCAAAUCAUUUUGAGU